rnacentral:piRNA from 1 species
UUGCAUCGAUGUGGCAGACACUAUG